CACGAGUUUAGAGGAAUAACUGGUCCUCAUAUGGUGGUUGCCCCAAAGUCUACUCUUGGUAACUGGAUGAAUGAAAUUCGUCGUUUUUGUCCAGUUUUGCGUGCUGUAAAGUUUCUUGGCAAUCCUGAUGAAAGGAAACACAUACGUGAGAAUUUACUGGUUGCAGGAAAGUUUGAUGUGUGUGUUACAAGUUUUGAAAU
rnacentral:misc_RNA from 1 species